rnacentral:rRNA from 1 species
UUUUGCAUAUCCAAAAAGCGGAGGAAAAGAAACUAACAAGGAUUCCCCUAGUAGCGGCGAGCGAAGCGGGAAGAGCUCAAAUUUAUAAUCUGGCACCUUCGGUGUCCGAGUUGUAAUCUCUAGAAAUGUUUUCCGCGUUGGACCGCACACAAGUCUGUUGGAAUACAGCGGCAUAGUGGUGAGACCCCCGUAUAUGGUGCGGACGCCCAGCGCUUUGUGAUACAUUUUCGAAGAGUCGAGUUGUUUGGGAAUGCAGCUCAAAUUGGGUGGUAAAUUCCAUCUAAAGCUAAAUAUUGGCGAGAGACCGAUAGCGAACAAGUACCGUGAGGGAAAGAUGAAAAGCACUUUGGAAAGAGAGUUAACAGUACGUGAAAUUGUUGGAAGGGAAACGCUUGAAGUCAGACUUGCUUGCCGAGCAAUCGGUUUGCAGGCCAGCAUCAGUUUUCCGGGAUGGAUAAUGGUAAAGAGAAGGUAGCAGUUUCGGCUGUGUUAUAGCUCUCUACUGGAUACAUCCUGGGGGACUGAGGAACGCAGUGUGCCUUUGGCGGGGGUUUCGACCUCUUCACACUUAGGAUGCUGGUGGAAUGGCUUUAAACGACCCGUCUUGAAACACGGACAAAA